rnacentral:rRNA from 1 species
ACGGGUGAGUAAUGCCUAGGAAUCUGCCUGGUAGUGGGGGACAACGUUUCGAAAGGAACGCUAAUACCGCAUACGUCCUACGGGAGAAAGCAGGGGACCUUCGGGCCUUGCGCUAUCAGAUGAGCCUAGGUCGGAUUAGCUAGUUGGUGGGGUAAUGGCUCACCAAGGCGACGAUCCGUAACUGGUCUGAGAGGAUGAUCAGUCACACUGGAACUGAGACACGGUCCAGACUCCUACGGGAGGCAGCAGUGGGGAAUAUUGGACAAUGGGCGAAAGCCUGAUCCAGCCAUGCCGCGUGUGUGAAGAAGGUCUUCGGAUUGUAAAGCACUUUAAGUUGGGAGGAAGGGCAGUAAGCUAAUACCUUGCUGUUUUGACGUUACCGACAGAAUAAGCACCGGCUAACUCUGUGCCAGCAGCCGCGGUAAUACAGAGGGUGCAAGCGUUAAUCGGAAUUACUGGGCGUAAAGCGCGCGUAGGUGGUUUGUUAAGUUGGAUGUGAAAGCCCCGGGCUCAACCUGGGAACUGCAUCCAAAACUGGCAAGCUAGAGUACGGUAGAGGGUGGUGGAAUUUCCUGUGUAGCGGUG